UACGGGGGGGGGCAAGCGUUGUUCGGAAUUACUGGGCGUAAAGGCUCGUAGGCGGCCAACUAAGUCGGAUGUGAAAUCCCCCAAGCUUAACUUGGGAACUGCAUCCGAUACUGGAUGGCUUGAAUCCGGGAGAGGGAUGCAGAAUUCCAGGUGUAGCGGUGAAAUGCGUAGAUAUCUGGAGGAAUACCGGUGGCGAAGGCGGCAUCCUGGACCGGCAUUGACGCUGAGGAGCGAAAGGCU
rnacentral:rRNA from 1 species